rnacentral:rRNA from 1 species
UACGGGGGGAGCAAGCGUUGUUCGGAUUUACUGGGCGUAAAGGGCGCGUAGGCGGCCACCGCAAGUCGAUUGUGAAAUCUCCGGGCUUAACCCGGAAAGGUCAACCGAUACUGCGGGGCUAGAGUGCAGAAGGGGCAACUGGAAUUCUCGGUGUAGCGGUGAAAUGCAUAGAGAUCGGGAGGAACACCGGUGGCGAAGGCGGGUCUCUGGGCAAUUCCUGACGCUGAGGCGCGAAAGCGUGGGGAGCAAACAGG